rnacentral:rRNA from 1 species
UACAUGGGGUGCAAACGUUGCUCGGAAUCAUUGGGCGUAAAGCGCGCGUAGGCGGUUACUUAUGUCGGAUGUGAAAGCCCUCGGCUUAACUGAGGAAGUGCAUUCGAAACUGGGUAGCUAGAGUACUAAAGAGGGUCGCGGAAUUCCCGGUGUAGAGGUGAAAUUCGUAGAUAUCGGGAGGAACACCGGUGACGAAGGCGGCGACCUGGGUAGAUACUGACGCUGAGGCGCGAAAGCGUGGGGAGCAAACAGG